GUCAACCUAGUCCCUAAACUUAGAAAUCUCCCAUAUAGGUCCUCAAACUUGUUCAGUCGUGUCAUCCCGGUCCCUAAACUUGUUUUUAAGUCAUCCAGAUCAAAGCAGGGCGAAUCUAAAAACUCUAUAUAGGAAAAUAAUUCAUAACUUUUUCAUAAUAUGAACUCAAAUGAAGAUAAACUUUAUAUCAAAUUUGUAGUAAGCAAUGCGAUCUACAACUUUGUAGUUGAAAGGUUUUUAAAUUGAAAUCUUUUGGGGUCCCAAAAUAUUUUUUUGAAAGUUUUUAGAUCUAGAAAUUUAAAAUUAAAAUUAAAUUUUGUGAUAUUAAACGACUUUAAAUAAAAAACAUUUCAACUAUAAAGUUGUAGAACACAUUAAGGGCUACAACUUUGAUAUAAAGUUUGUCUUCAUUCGAGUACAUAUGAAAAAGUUAUGAAUUAUUUUUAAUAUAGAGUUUUUAGAUCACUUUGUUUUGACCUAGAUGAGACUUAAAAUCAAGUUUAGGGACCUGGAUGACACAA
rnacentral:lncRNA from 1 species